CUUAAUUGGGCGUUAAGUUGCAGGGUAUAGACCCGAAACCCGGUGAUCUAGCCAUGGGCAGGUUGAAGGUUGGGUAACACUAACUGGAGGACCGAACCGACUAAUGUUGAAAAAUUAGCGGAUGACCUGUGGCUGGGGGUGAAAGGCCAAUCAAACCGGGAGAUAGCUGGUUCUCCCCGAAAGCUAUUUAGGUAGCGCCUCGUGAAUUCAUCUCCGGGGGUAGAGCACUGUUUCGGCUAGGGGGCCAUCCCGGCUUACCAACCCGAUGCAAACUGCGAAUACCGGAGAAUGUUAUCACGGGAGACACACGGCGGGUGCUAACGUCCGUCGUGAAGAGGGAAACAACCCAGACCGCCAGCUAAGGUCCCAAAGUCAUGGUUAAGUGGGAAACGAUGUGGGAAGGCCCAGACAGCCAGGAUGUUGGCUUAGAAGCAGCCAUCAUUUAAAGAAAGCGUAAUAGCUCACUGGUCGAGUCGGCCUGCGCGGAAGAUGUAACGGGGCUAAACCAUGCACCGAAGCUGCGGCAGC
rnacentral:rRNA from 1 species